GGAUUAUUGAUAUGCACUUCACUAUUUGUUUUAUUUGUGAUUGCGUUAGUGUUGAUUCAUGUUUAUGUAAAAGACAUUGAUAAAGAUUGGGGAUAUUACAUCCUCUUUCCAUUCGUGGGAGGUUUUUUUGGAGUCUGUAUUUCAUUAAUAUGGAAUUUUUUUCGUGAUGAUAACGUUACCUCCGCAGUUCCUAAGGCGGACAACAAGAUAUGAAAAUGUCAGAUGUCGAAAAAGGGAAACUGUCAACGAAGGCAUCCUGAGAUUGUCGAGUUGGAUAGUCAUUGUAGUCGAAAUAAUGUUCCGAGGCAGAAGUGGUUUCAAAGAUUGCUAAAGAUAGACGUAAUAUGGUAAAUCCAGGUGAACUGAAACCCGCAUUGUUCUUUUUCUCGAAUCGACUAUAAGUCUUCAAUACAUAAAGGAAUGCUUAAAAAUGAAUAAGCCUGAUACCUUCGAUAACUAUUGAGCCUAAUAUAAUCUUUGCAGCCGUCUGAUUCUUCAUAAUUGUUGCUUACAAUUUCUCCUUUCUUACUAGAUUCUUAUAUUGCAUAAAGACUGUCUGAAUACAAUUGUGCAGGAAAAUGUACCACUAAAGUCGUCGGUUAGGGAAUUUAUCUAGUUGUUAAUUGUUAAGAACAGUAAUGCAUUAAUAUAUGAUUGACUAUAUUAGAUGUUGUUUCUGUGAUAUUUGAUAUAUGUUCAAUAAGUACAUUCCACUUGCAAAUAAAUGAAGUAUGUCGUAAAAUGGACUUUGUAAUCAUUUUGCAUUUGUUAUCAGAUCAAGUGUUUUAUUCUGUGGUUAUUCUUUUUCUGAAAAAUGUAAGAUCUUUGUAAAACAUUUUUAUAAACCGAUGAAACUUUA